rfam:Cucumis sativus cultivar 9930 chromosome 1, whole genome shotgun sequence.
GUCUCUUUGAGGACAAACAAUAAAAUUGAAACGACUUGUAGAAGAUUACCAUGGAUAUGUGCAAGAAUGACAUGCACAGAUUGAGAAAUUGUUUAAUUGUUU